rnacentral:lncRNA from 1 species
UGUGUUUUGUUUUUUCUAUGUUCUUACGUCGGGGACUGGUGUGUCUGCUCUUGUUCAGCGUCUCAUGUUACGCUACCUAUUUGCUGCAACGUUUCUGUUCUGUCGCCCUAGUUUCUAUUUUUUGUUUUAUUGUUUUUUUUUUUGGAUUUUCGAGCCUCGCCGAUCGCAACCACGCUGAUCUCAGCUGGUUUGCGAACCCUUGCCCAAUGAGGGCAGAUCGUUGAC